rfam:Brachypodium distachyon strain Bd21 chromosome 4, whole genome shotgun sequence.
AUACUACUCCUCCGUCGAACGAAAGAUGUCUCAGCUUUGGCUAAAUUUAAAUGCAUCUAUACACUAAGUCAUGUUUAGAUACAUCCAAAUUUUGAUAAACUUAAGACAUCUUUUAUUGGACGGAUGGAGUACUGU